GUGAAUCAUCAAAUCUUUGAACGCAAAUUGCACUCUCUUCGGAGAGUAUGCCUGUUUGAGGGUCAGCCUAAAAAAAAUCGACAUCGUUGCUGUUUCGCGGUGGCGUUGGUCGGAGAUUGUGUUAUCUUAUAUCUUUGGUUUAGGCGACUUAAAAUUUUCUUUACGAUUCUAUGAACGUUUCAAAGAUUUAUUUCUUUACACGUUUUCGGUAUCGUGUUUAUUAGGCGUGGUCGUCAUAUCGGAUCAUG
rnacentral:misc_RNA from 1 species